rnacentral:rRNA from 1 species
UAGGGAAUAUUGGGCAAUGGAAGAGAUUCUGACCCAGCCAUGCCGCGUGCAGGAAGAAGGCCUUCUGGGUUGUAAACUGCUUUUACCAGGGAAGAAAACGCUCCUGCGGGAGUAACUGACGGUACCUGGUGAAUAAGCACCGGCUAACUCCGUGCCAGCAGCCGCGGUAAUACGGAGGGUGCAAGCGUUGUCCGGAUUUAUUGGGUUUAAAGGGUGCGUAGGCGGCCUUUUAAGUCAGGGGUGAAAUCCCGGGGCUCAACCCCGGAACUGCCCUUGAUACUGGGAGGCUUGAGUUCGGUAGAGGCGGGCGGAACUGGCGGUGUAGCGGUGAAAUGCAUAGAUACCGCCAAGAACCCCGAUUGCGAAGGCAGCUCGCUGUGCCGAAACUGACGCUGAGGCACGAAAGCGUGGGGAGCGAACAGG